CCUCCGGUGGCCUAGUGGUUAAGGCAUUGUUCUUAUAUGAGAGAUCCUUAUAUACAAGUUAUGCAAUGAUCGCGGGUUCAAACCCCGCCCGGAGCA